rnacentral:tRNA from 1 species
GGUUGUGGCUCAGUGGCAGAGCACUUGCCUAGCAUGUAUGAGGCACUGAGUUCGAUUCUCAGCACCA